rnacentral:rRNA from 1 species
UACGAAGGGUGCAAGCGUUAAUCGGAAUUACUGGGCGUAAAGCGUGCGUAGGCGGUGAGUUAAGUCUGUCGUGAAAUCCCCGGGCUCAACCGGGAGGGUGCGCCGAAAACUGGGAGGCUAGAGUGCGGGAUGGGAGAGUGGAAUUCCUGGUGUAGCGGUGAAAUGCGUAGAUAUCAGGAGGAACACCGGUGGUGCAGACGGCUCUCUGGACCGUAACUGACGCUGAGACACGAAAGCGUGGGUAGCAAACAGG